rnacentral:rRNA from 1 species
CACGUGAUAUCCUGUCUGAAUAUGGGGGGACCAUCCUCCAAGGCUAAAUACUCCUGACUGACCGAUAGUGAACCAGUACCGUGAGGGAAAGGCGAAAAGAACCCCUGUGAGGGGAGUGAAAUAGAACCUGAAACCGUGUACGUACAAGCAGUAGGAGCACCUUCGUGGUGUGACUGCGUACCUUUUGUAUAAUGGGUCAGCGACUUAUAUUCAGUGGCAAGGUUAACCGUAUAGGGGAGCCGUAGCGAAAGCGAGUCUUAACUGGGCGCUCAGUCUCUGGAUAUAGACCCGAAACCGGGUGAUCUAGCCAUGGGCAGGUUGAAGGUUGAGUAACAUCAACUGGAGGACCGAACCGACUAAUGUUGAAAAAUUAGCGGAUGACUUGUGGCUAGGGGUGAAAGGCCAAUCAAACUCGGAGAUAGCUGGUUCUCCCCGAAAGCUAUUUAGGUAGCGCCUCGGACGAAUACUACUGGGGGUAGAGCACUGUUAAGGCUAGGGGGUCAUCCCGACUUACCAACCCUUUGCAAACUCCGAAUACCAGUAAGUACUAUCCGGGAGACACACGGCGGGUGCUAACGUCCGUCGUGGAGAGGGAAACAACCCAGACCGCCAGCUAAGGUCCCAAAGUAUUGCUAAGUGGGAAACGAUGUGGGAAGGCUCAGACAGCUAGGAUGUUGGCUUAGAAGCAGCCAUCAUUUAAAGAAAGCGUAAUAGCUCACUAGUCGAGUCGGCCUGCGCGGAAGAUGUAACGGGGCUAAGCAAUACACCGAAGCUGCGGCAAUAUCUUUUAGAUAUUGGGUAGGGGAGCGUUCUGUAAGCCGUUGAAGGUGAAUCGUAAGGUUUGCUGGAGGUAUCAGAAGUGCGAAUGCUGACAUGAGUAACGACAAAGGGGGUGAAAAACCUCCUCGCCGGAAGACCAAGGGUUCCUGUCCAACGUUAAUCGGGGCAGGGUGAGUCGACCCCUAAGGUGAGGCCGAAAGGCGUAAUCGAUGGGAAACGGGUUAAUAUUCCCGUACUUCUGACUAUUGCGAUGGGGGGACGGAGAAGGCUAGGUGGGCCAGGCGACGGUUGUCCUGGUUCAAGUGCGUAGGCUUGAGAGUUAGGUAAAUCCGGCUCUCUCUAAGGCUGAGACACGACGUCGAGCUGCUACGGCAGUGAAGUCAUUGAUGCCAUGCUUCCAGGAAAAGCCUCUAAGCUUCAGAUAGUCAGGAAUCGUACCCCAAACCGACACAGGUGGUCGGGUAGAGAAUACCAAGGCGCUUGAGAGAACUCGGGUGAAGGAACUAGGCAAAAUGGUACCGUAACUUCGGGAGAAGGUACGCUCUUGAUGGUGAAGUCCCUCGCGGAUGGAGCUGACGAGAGUCGCAGAUACCAGGUGGCUGCAACUGUUUAUUAAAAACACAGCACUGUGCAAAAUCGCAAGAUGACGUAUACGGUGUGACGCCUGCCCGGUGCCGGAAGGUUAAUUGAUGGGGUUAGCGCAAGCGAAGCUCUUGAUCGAAGCCCCGGUAAACGGCGGCCGUAACUAUAACGGUCCUAAGGUAGCGAAAUUCCUUGUCGGGUAAGUUCCGACCUGCACGAAUGGCGUAAUGAUGGCCACGCUGUCUCCACCCGAGACUCAGUGAAAUUGAAAUCGCUGUGAAGAUGCAGUGUACCCGCGGCUAGACGGAAAGACCCCGUGAACCUUUACUACAGCUUGGCACUGAACAUUGAACCUACAUGUGUAGGAUAGGUGGGAGGCUAUGAAGACGUGACGCCAGUUGCGUUGGAGCCGUCCUUGAAAUACCACCCUUGUAUGU